GAUGAACGCUGGCGGCGUGCCUAAUACAUGCAAGUCGAGCGAAUGGAUUAAGAGCUUGCUCUUAUGAAGUUAGCGGCGGACGGGUGAGUAACACGUGGGUAACCUGCCCAUAAGACUGGGAUAACUCCGGGAAACCGGGGCUAAUACCGGAUAACAUUUUGAACCGCAUGGUUCGAAAUUGAAAGGCGGCUUCGGCUGUCACUUAUGGAUGGACCCGCGUCGCAUUAGCUAGUUGGUGAGGUAACGGCUCACCAAGGCAACGGUGCGUAGCCGACCUGAGGGGGUAGUCGGCCACACUGGGACUGAGACGCGGCCCAGACUACUACGGGAGGCAGCAGUAGGGAAUCUUCCGCAAUGGAAGAAAGUCUGACGGAGCAACGCCGCGUGAGUGAUGAAGGCUUUCGGGUCGUAAAACUCUGUUGUUAGGGAAGAACAAGUGCUAGUUGAAUAAGCUGGCACCUUGACGGUACCUAACCAGAAAGCCACGGCUAACUACGUGCCAGCAGCCGCAGUAA
rnacentral:rRNA from 1 species